rnacentral:rRNA from 1 species
GUCUACGGCCAUGCCACCCUGAACAAGCCCAAUCCGUCUGAUCUUGGAAGCUAAUCAGGGUCGGGUCUUGUUAGUACUUGAAUGGGAGACCACCUAGGAAGACCAGGUGUUGUAGGUG